GCUCCGGUGGUGUAGUUCGGUCAAUCAUUCCGGCCUCUCGAGCCGAAGACCCGAGUUCAAAUCUCGGCCGGAGCA
rnacentral:tRNA from 1 species